UAUACCUGCAGGAGCCUUCACUUAGUUGGCAUAAGUACACGAGCCCUCUGCCCAGCCCCGUAACACAAAAUUGUGCAUCAAUACAUCUGUGCAAUGCCUCACUUGACUCACUCCACCUCAGUUUCAGAUGGCUGCCUAGCCCAAGUUUUUGACCCACCCAAGAAGUGUGUUAAUAACCGAUUUAUACUCGACACACCAAAUGAGGGGAGACUACAGCAGUGAAGUAGUCAGCAAGCUACUCAGGACAGUUGGAGGUCCCUUCGACGCUCGGUCUUUACUGAUGAAUUGCAGCACUUUCGCCGUCUGGGCAGGAUACAAAAAAGGAUGAAUCUGACUAACCAUCAUCACGACCAUUAAAAUUACCUGAUGCCUCAAGUGGCGAUAGCAAAGCCGUUUAAUUGAAAUUUCAUUUGUAAACGAAGGUGCACCUAAGCUGAAACGCAUAUGACAAUAAAGAAAUCAACAAAAAAGAACCGG